GUUUUCGCCUUAGACUUUCUUGGGUGCAGGCCCACACCACCUCAGCAGCCUGCCCGGCAGUCCUCUUUUCCCAGGUUUUGGCGUUUAGACAACCCACCUGAGUCCUCAGCCUUGUCCCACACAGCAAGGUACAAGGGACCGGACGUCUGCCUCCUCAGCAGCGCAGCGCACAAGCUUCCUGUCAUCCCGGCGCCCACGAUCAGCACCUGCGCCAUGGCGAGAGGCCCCUCCGUCCUUGAGGAGCAAACCUGGGGCUGCGGAGAACCGGGGCUGUCUGUCUUCUCGCUUUGGGGGCCGGGCGCCCUGCCCCUCGCCCAGAAAAGCCUGGAAAUGGUGUGGGCUAUUGUUGGGAGAACCCGCCUCGCAACAGAGCUGACGUUGACCACAGCAGAGAAGCAGCUUAACCUAUCUACUGCGAUAACUCUCAUGCCUGUUGGGAUUUUUGCUGUUUUACUAUUCUAGAUUUGAAAGUGGGAAGAAGAAUUUACCAGCGAUACCACGGGCAACCUUUCCUCUAAUGCUUGAACGGCCACUAUUAGCAUAAUAGAAACAUCUUUUGGAAUCUGGGAGACAUUUUUCUUAGACCUGGGACUUUGUGUAACCUUCCUGAACCUCAAUUUCUCCAUCUGGGAAAUGGAAACAAUAACGUAUACCUUUCAAACUUGUAAAGAUUAAAGACAGUUGAUUCAUCAGAAAAUUCCAAAUUACUCUUCAAUAAGUUCUAUGUCAGAACGCAUUCCGUAUGUUCUAAGGAAUAUAAAGAUGAACAACAAGAGAAGGAUUGGUGCCAUUGCCGUUGUUUUUUUCCCCCUCCUGACAUUGUACUGGAAGUUCUCAAUGAAACAACAAAGGCAAUGGUAAUACUGAACUAUUAAAAAACAAAUAAUUAAGUUACGCUGACUUGCAGAUAAAUUAUUACCUGGAAAACUAAGAAACCGAAUAAGUAUCAGAACCAAUAAGAAAAUUGACAAUGGUAGCCAAUUAUAAUGGAAACAUUUAAAAAUCAGAAUAUUUACUUCAUGUCCACAUCAUGAAAAAAAUUACCAUGUAUCAAAUGGGUGACGAAUUAAUACUAGAUAUAUCUAAUAAAAGAACUAGAAGAAAAUGUAGACGGGCAUAUAUGACUAAGAAGACAUUUUUAAGCAUAAAAAUGAAAGAUGGAAUUGAACAGAAAAUACAUAAUCAUUUACAACUUGUGUGUUACAAAAUACACAAAACAAAAUACAAAUAGUAAAUUUCUGAAAGGUGUAUGAAAGAUUAAAGUUAAUAUUAUUUAAAAACAUUAUUCAAAGUCUUAAAGACACAAAUGACAAAAGCCAAAAGGAAAAUGUGUAUAUAUUGGAUAGAGUUCUUGAAUAAAAAGAAAUACGUAAGUCCAA
rnacentral:lncRNA from 1 species